GCGGUGCUGGGCUUUGCGUGCGGACAACUGAGUCCCCGGGCCCUUAUCGAUCCUAACGGGAGCUGUCCCUGUCCGGGCUCGUGGGCCUGGGCACACGGCGCCCACCUACUUACGUAGGUGCCCGGGAUCGAACGCUCCCACGGCUGUUCCGGCCCGCCA
rfam:Proteobacteria bacterium SG_bin8 1341, whole genome shotgun sequence.